ACACCUCAACUCUCAUGGUUUGCCAUGAUGAGCUUGGACUUCUGGGGGUUUUGCUGGCUUGCCGUCGGCUCCUCUCAAAUGAAUCAGCUUGCCAGUGUUUGGUGGCAUCACGGGUGUGAUAACUAUCUACGCUUGUGGUUUUCUGCCAGGUAGCCUUCAGUGAUGGAGGUUCGCUGGAGCUCAUAAACGUCUCUCCUCAGCGAAGACAGCUUUGUGAAC
rnacentral:misc_RNA from 1 species